rnacentral:rRNA from 1 species
UGAGUAACACGUAUCCAACCUGCCCUUUACUCGGGGAUAGCCUUUCGAAAGAAAGAUUAAUACCCGAUGGCAUAAUGAUUCCGCAUGGUUUCAUUAUUAAAGGAUUCCGGUAAAGGAUGGGGAUGCGUUCCAUUAGGUUGUUGGUGAGGUAACGGCCCACCAAGCCUUCGAUGGAUAGGGGUUCUGAGAGGAAGGUCCCCCACAUUGGAACUGAGACACGGUCCAAACUCCUACGGGAGGCAGCAGUGAGGAAUAUUGGUCAAUGGGCGCUAGCCUGAACCAGCCAAGUAGCGUGAAGGAUGAAGGCUCUAUGGGUCGUAAACUUCUUUUAUAUAAGAAUAAAGUGCAGUAUGUAUACUGUUUUGUAUGUAUUAUAUGAAUAAGGAUCGGCUAACUCCGUGCCAGCAGCCGCGGUAAUACGGAGGAUCCGAGCGUUAUCCGGAUUUAUUGGGUUUAAAGGGAGCGUAGGUGGACUGGUAAGUCAGUUGUGAAAGUUUGCGGCUCAACCGUAAAAUUGCAGUUGAUACUGUCAGUCUUGAGUACAGUAGAGGUGGGCGGAAUUCGUGGUGUAGCGGUGAAAUGCUUAGAUAUCACGAAGAACUCCGAUUGCGAAGGCAGCUCACUGGACUGCAACUGACACUGAUGCUCGAAAGUGUGGGUAUCAAACAGGAUUAGAUACCCUGGUAGUCCACACAGUAAACGAUGAAUACUCGCUGUUUGCGAUAUAC